UUACGGUCAGAUCACAUUGAAACGCUGGUUCCCGUCUAAUCACCCAAGUUGAGCAACGUUGAGCCUGGUCAGUACCUAGAUGGCUAAUCUCUUGGGAAUGUCAGGUGCU